rnacentral:rRNA from 1 species
AGACCCGAAACCCGGUGAUCUAGCCAUGGGCAGGUUGAAGGUUGGGUAACACUAACUGGAGGACCGAACCGACUAAUGUUGAAAAAUUAGCGGAUGACCUGUGGCUGGGGGUGAAAGGCCAAUCAAACCGGGAGAUAGCUGGUUCUCCCCGAAAGCUAUUUAGGUAGCGCCUCGUGAAUUCAUCUCCGGGGGUAGAGCACUGUUUCGGCCAGGGGGCCAUCCCGGCUUACCAACCCGAUGCAAACUGCGAAUACCGGAGAAUGUUAUCACGGGAGACACACGGCGGGUGCUAACGUCCGUCGUGAAGAGGGAAACAACCCAGACCGCCAGCUAAGGUCCCAAAGUCAUGGUUAAGUGGGAAACGAUGUGGGAAGGCCCAGACAGCCAGGAUGUUGGCUUAGAAGCAGCCAUCAUUUAAAGAAAGCGUAAUAGCUCACUGGUCGAGUCGGCCUGCGCGGAAGAUGUAACGGGGCUAAACCAUGCACCGAAGCUGCGGCAGCGACACUAAGUGUCGUUGGGUAGGGGAGCGUUCUGUAAGCCUGCGAAGGUGGCCUGUGAGGGUUGCUGGAGGUAUCAGAAGUGCGAAUGCUGACAUAAGUAACGAUAAUGCGGGUGAAAAACCCGCACGCCGGAAGACCAAGGGUUCCUGUCCAACGUUAAUCGGGGCAGGGUGAGUCGACCCCUAAGGCGAGGCCGAAAGGCGUAGUCGAUGGGAAACGGGUUAAUAUUCCCGUACCUGGUGUUACUGCGAAGGGGGGACGGAGAAGGCUAUGUUGGCCGGGCGACGGUUGUCCCGGUUUAAGCGUGCAGGCUGGUUUUCCAGGCAAAUCCGGAAAAUCAAGGCUGAGGCGUGAUGACGAGGCACUACGGUGCUGAAGCAACAAAUGCCCUGCUUCCAGGAAAAGCCUCUAAGCCUCAGGUAACAUCAGAUCGUACCCGAAACCGACACAGGUGGUCAGGUAGAGAAUACCAAGGCGCUUGAGAGAACCCGGGUGAAGGAACUAGGCAAAAUGGUGCCGUAACUUCGGGAGAAGGCACGCUGACAUGUAGGUGAAGCGGUUUACCCGUGGAGCUGAAGUCAGUCGAAGAUACCAGCUGGCUGCAACUGUUUAUUAAAAACACAGCACUGUGCAAACACGAAAGUGGACGUAUACGGUGUGACGCCUGCCCGGUGCCGGAAGGUUAAUUGAUGGGGUCAGCGCAAGCGAAGCUCCUGAUCGAAGCCCCGGUAAACGGCGGCCGUAACUAUAACGGUCCUAAGGUAGCGAAAUUCCUUGUCGGGUAAGUUCCGACCUGCACGAAUGGCGUAAUGAUGGCCAGGCUGUCUCCACCCGGGACUCAGUGAAAUUGAACUCGCUGUGAAGAUGCAGUGUACCCGCGGCAAGACGGAAAGACCCCGUGAACCUUUACUAUAGCUUGACACUGAACACUGGUCCUUGAUGUGCAGGAUAGGUGGGAGGCUUUGAAGUGUGGACGCCAGUCUGCAUGGAGCCGUCCUUGAAAUACCACCCUUUAAUGGCUGGUGUUCUAACGUAGACCCGUGAACCGGGUUGCGGACAGUGUCUGGUGGGUAGUUUGACUGGGGCGGUCUCCUCCUAAAGCGUAACGGAGGAGCACGAAGGUUGGCUAAUCCUGGUCGGACAUCAGGAGGUUAGUGCAAUGGCAUAAGCCAGCUUGACUGCGAGCGUGACGGCGCGAGCAGGUGCGAAAGCAGGUCAUAGUGAUCCGGUGGUUCUGAAUGGAAGGGCCAUCGCUCAACGGAUAAAAGGUACUCCGGGGAUAACAGGCUGAUACCGCCCAAGAGUUCAUAUCGACGGCGGUGUUUGGCACCUCGAUGUCGGCUCAUCACAUCCUGGGGCUGAAGUAGGUCCCAAGGGUAUGGCUGUUCGCCAUUUAAAGUGGUACGCGAGCUGGGUUUAGAACGUCGUGAGACAGUUCGGUCCCUAUCUGCCGUGGGCGCUGGAGAACUGAGGGGGGCUGCUCCUAGUACGAGAGGACCGGAGUGGACGCAUCACUGGUGUUCGGGUUGUCAUGCCAAUGGCACUGCCCGGUAGCUAAAUGCGGAAGAGAUAAGUGCUGAAAGCAUCUAAGCACGAAACUUGCCCCG